CAACGGAUUGGCGUUAAUCAAACGAUUUUUACACAAAAAUUAAAUAAUACUCGAUCUAUUUAUGGAAUGUUUAACAUAGGUUGUCAUUUGAAAAUCAAAAGUAGGAAAAGGUUUUAUUCCUAAAAAUAUGAAUGAAAAAAAAUAGCAUAUAUGUAAAAUAUUUUUAUCAAGAACCAGCAAUCAUCUCAGAGGAUAUUAAAUGAAUUUGAUUUCGGUUAUUUUCUAAUAAUUAUGGACUA